CCUACGGGCCGCACCAGUAGGGAAUUUUCGGCAAUGGACGAAAGUCUGACCGAGCAACGCCGCGUGAGUGAAGAAGGUUUUCGGAUUGUAAAACUCUGUUGUUAGAGAAGAACAAGUAGGAGAGUAACUGCUCUUACCUUGACGGUAUCUAACCAGAAAGCCACGGCUAACUACGUGCCAGCAGCCGCGGUAAUACGUAGGUGGCAAGCGUUAUCCGGAUUUAUUGGGCGUAAAGCGAGCGCAGGCGGUCUUUUAAGUCUGAUGUGAAAGCCCUCGGCUCUACCGAGGAAGGUCAUUGGAAACUGGAGGACUUGAGUGCAGAAGAGGAGAGUGGAAUUCCAUGUGUAGCGGUGAAAUGCGUAGAUAUAUGGAGGAACACCAGUGGCGAAGGCGACUCUCUGGUCUGUAACUGACGCUGAGGCUUGAAAGCGUGGGGAGCAAACAGGAUUAGAUACCCCAGUAGUC
rnacentral:rRNA from 1 species